ensembl:snRNA U6 U6 spliceosomal RNA
GUUCUUGCCUCAGCAGCAUACAUACUAAAAUUGGAAUAAUACGGAGAAGGAUAGCAUGACCCUUACACAAGGAUGACUUGCAAAAUUUGUAAGUUUCCUUGAGAGAU